rnacentral:rRNA from 1 species
AACUAACGCUGGCGGCGCGUCUUAAACAUGCAAGUCAAACGGGUAGCAAUACCAGUGGCGAACGGGUGAGUAAUACAUGGAUAACCUACCUUUAAGUUGGGGAUAACACAGAGAAAUUUGUGCUAAUACCGAAUGUGACGGUUCAGCAAAGGCUGGAUUGGUUAAAGCAGCAAUGCGCUUAGAGAUGGGUCCAUGGCUGAUUAGCUAGUUGGUGGGGUAAAGGCCCACCAAGGCGACGAUCAGUAGCCGGCCUGAGAGGGUGAACGGCCACAAUGGAACUGAGACACGGUCCAUACUCCUACGGGAGGCAGCAGUUAAGAAUCUUGCUCAAUGGGCGAAAGCCUGAAGCAGCGACGCCGCGUGAACGAUGAAGGUCUUCGGAUUGUAAAGUUCAGUAAGUAGGGACGAAAAAAAUGACGGUACCUACCUAAAGCACCGGCUAACUACGUGCCAGCCGCCGCCGUAAUAC